GUGGAUUAGAUACCCGGGUAGUCCACGCCCUAAACGAUGUCAACUGGUUGUUGGGGGAGUGAAAUCCCUUAGUAACGAAGCUAACGCGUGAAGUUGACCGCCUGGGGAGUACGGUCGCAAGAUUAAAACUCAAAGGAAUUGACGGGGACCCGCACAAGCGGUGGAUGAUGUGGAUUAAUUCGAUGCAACGCGAAAAACCUUACCUACCCUUGACAUGUCCGGAAUCCUGCAGAGAUGCGGGAGUGCCCGAAAGGGAAUCGGAACACAGGUGCUGCACGGCCGUCGCCAACU
rnacentral:rRNA from 1 species